rnacentral:tRNA from 1 species
GACGCCGAAGCCGUAGGCGAGCGGCCGGGCCGCCUCGAACGCGGCCCUGGUGAGGCAUCGCUGCCCGUUCAGCGGCUGGGUCGCCUCCC